GACGAACGCUGGCGGCGUGCUUAACACAUGCAAGUCGAACGGAAAGGCCUCUUUCGGGGGGUACUCGAGUGGCGAACGGGUGAGUAACACGUGAGUAACCUGCCCUUGACUUUGGGAUAACUCCAGGAAACUGGGGCUAAUACCGGAUAGGAGCUCCUGCUGCAUGGUGGGGGUUGGAAAGCUUCGGCGGUUGGGGUUGGACUCGCGGCUUAUCAGCUUGUUGGUGGGGUAGUGGCUUACCAAGGCUUUGACGGGUAGCCGGCCUGGGAGGGUGACCGGCCACAGUGGGACUGGGAUACGGCCCAGACUCCUACGGGAGGGAGCAGUGGGGAAGGUUGCAAAAUGGGUGGGAGCCUGAUGCAGAAACGCCGUGGGCGGGAUGACGGCCUUGGGGUUGUAAACCGCUUUCGCUCAUGACGAAGCUUUGUGUGACGGUAGUGGGUAAAGAAGCACCGGCUAACUACGUG
rnacentral:rRNA from 1 species